CGUGUAGGCGGCUGGGUAAGUCAGAUGUGAAAGUCCCGGGCUCAACUUGGGAAGUGCAUUUGAAACUGCUCAGCUAGAGUAAGGGAGAGGAAAGCGGAAUUCCUGGUGUAGAGGUGAAAUUCGCAGAUAUCAGGAGGAACACCCGUGGCGAAGGCGGCUUUCUGGCCCUAAACUGACGCUGAGACGCGAAAGCGUAGGGAGCAAACA
rnacentral:rRNA from 1 species